UGGUAUGUGAAUAACAGUAGUUAAAACCAUUUGACCAAAGGAUUCCACUACUGAUAUUUUAAUACCGGUAGUGAAAAGUUCAUAGACAAGCGAUUUCACUACUGGUUUUCUUAAAUCAGUAGUGAAAAGUAGACACGGUGGCAAUGUUGUAAUUACAUUAAAAUUUGUUUUAAUUGGAUUUCACUACCGAUUUGGAUUUUACCCGUAGUGGAAUCCCUAUUAGUGUUCAUUAAUUAAUUGUUCAUUCUCAUUCUUCAUUCUUCAUAUCGUUCCCAAUUUCUUCCCUUGCGAGAACACACAGCGCCGUUCCCUAAUUUCUUCAUUCUUCAUUCUCAUUUUUCAUCGUUCCCAAAUUUCUUCCCAAUUUCUUCCCAAAUCGCCAUCGUCCCUAAUUUCUUCCCAAUUUUCAUUCCCAAAUCGCCAAAUCCCUAAAAAUCCCAAAGAAUUUCUUCAAUCAUUCUCCAAACCCUAGACGGCGACCCCUUUAUCAUUCUCCAAAUUUGCUUCAAUCUGCGGUGACAAGCUUCAAUCUACGGUAACAAUCCCUUUUUCUCUCUAUUCUUCAUUUUUUUAUAACCUAAAUUCAAUUCAUAUUUUAAAUUUUUUUCUUCAAUUUGGUUUAUUAGGUUACCAGUGGAGUUGGGUUGCAAAAGUAUCGAUUUGUUUGGAUAGAAAGAGUUGGGUUGGUGUUUACUUCCUCAAGGUGCGUUUUUUCCAAAUUCAAACUGUUAUGGGUUGGUGUUGAGUUGGAAUGUUCUACUGCUAGCACAUUGAGUAUCGCUCAACAGUCACAACAAGUUUUCACCAAAAUCCACUAAAAUCUCACUAUGCUCGCGCUCUAAAUUAACCUCAACAUCAGAGUUUUUAUUUUGAUUCAAAUUCGAUUCUUUAUGCUACAUUUAUC
rnacentral:lncRNA from 1 species